GAUGAACGCUGGCGGCGUGCCUAAUACAUGCAAGUCGAGCGAACAGAUGAGGAGCUUGCUCCUCUGACGUUACCGGCGGACGGGUGAGUAACACGUGGAUAACCGACCUUUAAGACUGGGAUAACUUCGGGAAACCGGAUCUAAUACCGGAUCAUAUAUUGAACCGCAUGGUUCUAUAGUGCUCGACGGUUCUGCUGUCACUUAUAGAUGGAUCCGCGCCGCAUUAGCUAGUUGGUAAGGUAACGGCUUACCAAGGCGACGAUGCGUAGCCGACCUGAGAGGAUGAUCAGCCACACUGGAACUGAGACACGGUCCAGACUCCUACGGGAGGCAGCAGUAGGGAAUAUUCCGCAAUGGGCGAAAGCCUGACGGAGCAACGCCGCGUGAGUGAUGAAGGUCUUCGGAUCGUAAAACUCUGUUAUUAGGGAAGAACAAAAGUGUGAGUAACUAUGCACGUCUUGACGGUACCAAAACAGAAAGCCACGGCUAACUACGUG
rnacentral:rRNA from 1 species